rnacentral:rRNA from 1 species
AGAGCGAACGCUGGCGGCAGGCUUAACACAUGCAAGUCGAGCGGGCGUAGCAAUACGUCAGCGGCAGACGGGUGAGUAACGCGUGGGAACAUACCUUUUGGUUCGGAACAACACAGGGAAACUUGUGCUAAUACCGGAUAAGCCCUUACGGGGAAAGAUUUAUCGCCGAAAGAUUGGCCCGCGUCUGAUUAGCUAGUUGGUGGGGUAACGGCCCACCAAGGCGACGAUCAGUAGCUGGUCUGAGAGGAUGAUCAGCCACAUUGGGACUGAGACACGGCCCAAACUCCUACGGGAGGCAGCAGUGGGGAAUAUUGGACAAUGGGCGAAAGCCUGAUCCAGCCAUGCCGCGUGAGUGAUGAAGGCCCUAGGGUUGUAAAGCUCUUUUGUGCGGGAAGAUAAUGACGGUACCGCAAGAAUAACGCCCGGCUAACUUCGCGCCAGCAGCCGC